rnacentral:lncRNA from 1 species
AUGUUAUGACGCAGACGACAAGGACGCUGGGUGCGAUGGUUUAUGAGAAAUAUUGAUUUGGAGAGACGGACAUUUGAAUUAAAACAAAUGGAAUAAGAUAUGCAAACCAAGCAGAGGCGGAUUAUUUUCCGAGAAGAAGGUCGCUUUAUUCAAAAAUGGGGACGACUUGUCAAACAGUCAACGAAACAAGAGGCAGAUUCAGAUAACUUAUUUUGGUAAAUAAUUAAUAAAUGGGUAGAUCACUCAGAUCGCUUAAACAAACACACUACAUAUAUUAAGUAUGUUGAAUGCAAUGUUGAAACGUUGCUAAUCAGCGUUGCCAUAUAUUUAUAUACAAACAAACAAACAUUCAUAGCAAGACCGUUGACAACGAUGUCAAGUCCGUUCGUCCUUGGCUUAUUGCAUGACAAUUUUGCCAUGUGUUCGUUCGCCCUACUGUUUUUAAAAACGAAACAAAUAUAUUUAAAUGGCAUAAAGGUUUUAUAAACUGAAUCAGAUAUUAUAUGAAAAAUAGUAGGGAUCUAGCAACCAUUUUACUUUAACAUUAACAUGUUAUGAUGGUAUGACACCUUUUCAACUUUUGAUCUUCAGUGCUGUACAACUUUGUACCUUUUUCACGUUCGAUCUUUUAUAUCUAGGCGUUAUGUAUUCAGGUUUAGUUUUCUGUAAUGUUUGAUGCUUCAGUUUCUUUGUGUAUAUCUCUUUCAUAUUCAUUUGAUGAAAUUUACUGUUUGCAAUAGCAUGAGUUGUUCUAUAUAAUAAGAAUGUUCUUGUCCCGGGCAUAAAAACAAUGCCGUAUUUGGCGAGACCUUUUCAAUUUUUGAUCUUCAGUGCUGUACAACUUUGUACUUUUUUCACUUUCGAUCUUUUAUAUCUGGGCGUCACUGGUGAGUCUUGUGUGGACAAGGCGCGUUUUUGGCGUAUUGAAUUUUAAACCUGAUGCUUUUUGUUAUCUAUUAAUCAUGUUUUUCUUUGUCUAAUAUGUUCUCCUAUUUAUUUGUAUUGUAGUCCUGUAAUAUUAUGUUGUCAUUUCAAUGUUAUAUUUAACUUUGCCAUUAAAGUGCGAGGUUUGGCAUGCCAUAAAACCAGGUUCAACCCACCACUUUUAUUCCCCUUUAAAAGUGUCCUGUACCAAGUCAGGAAGAUGGUCAUUGUUAUAUUAUUGUUCGUUUCUCUGUGUGUUGUAUUUUAACGUUGAGUCGUUUGUGUUUUCUCUUGUUUUUGAGAUAUUGAGAUAAGACGUGGCACGGUACUUGUCUAUCCCAAAUUCUUGUAUUUGGUUUUCAUGUUAUAUUUGUUAUUCUCGUGGUGUUUUGUCUGAUGAUUGGUCAGUUUCUGUGUGUGUUGCGUUUCGGUGUUGUGUCGUUGUUCUCUUAUAUUUAAUGCGUUUCGCUCGGUUUUGGUUUGUUACCCCGAUUUUGUUUUUUGUCCAUGGAUUUAUGAGUUUUGAACAGCGGUAUACUACUGUUGCCUUUAUUUACUUCAAAGGUAAUGACUAUAAAAAAAAAAAGUUUUAUUUAUUUAAAUUAAUAUAUGAAAAUAAAGGGUUGGGUAACAGAACCCCAUCAGCAUUAAGUAGCUUCCCAUACUAAUUAAAUUAGCCUUUCCCCAGUAAUCUACAGGCCAGGAGCUCAAUUUUUGAAAUUUUUUAGUUAGAUUCUGUUGGCCCGUAGUGUAGAUAUGAUUUUAACAGGCCCGAGUGAGAGCAAUUUUACUAGCCUGGGCUGCCACUCAGCGUGAAGACUGCUUCAGUGGCGGAUCCAGAAAUUUUUAUAAGUGGGGGCCCACUGACUGACCUAAGAGGGGGCCCGCUCCAGUCAUGCUUCAGUGAUUCCCUAUAUAAGCAACAAAAUUUUUUCCCAAAAAGGGGGGGGCCGGGCCUCCUGCCCCCCCCCUAAAUCCGCCUCUGUGCUUCCCUACUCCCCACCCCCAAGAUUAAUUGUCUUUGACUUUAUUCAAGAUUAAAUGUAUGAAUUAGUUACAAUGUACAAUGACAUAGUUGACUGAGUUGUAGCACUAGACAUAGUUAAUAGACACUAAAAUUAUAAAAGAUUUACAUAAUACAUGUUUACAGAAGGGGGCAGGACCUUUUUCGUGUUUUUAAGCCCUGGAUUUCAGGAUCAUGACUCAUUCGACCCCCCUCAUUACAUGUUUACUAAAAAUUAUGAUUUAAGAAUAUAAAAUCAUGAAUAUUGUCAUGAUAUUUUGAUAAUACAAUGUACAUGUACGGUACCAUAUAUGAAUAGAAUCUGAUAUGUCAGCGCAGUGGUGGAUCCAAGGGGAGGGUUUCCGGGGUUGGAACCCCCCUUUUUUGGACGAUAAAUGCAAUUGAAAUGAGACAUAUAUUUGGAACACCCCCCCCCCUUUUUUUUAAAUGGCUGGAUCUGCCCCUGCAGUGGUUGUCCUCUGUUUAUGUAGUUAUACAUACCCCACGCAAUAUUGCGUAUAUAAUGUUUUUGACCCGUCAGUCCUGUUUCUUGUCAUAGCAACUCCUCUUGAACCAAACAACAUAAUUUCACGAAACCUUUUUAGAUAAUAAGGACAUAAUAUGUAGAUGUGCAUAUCAACAGGAAAUUACGAUUCAUUUUUUUUUUCAAGAAGUUGCGCCCCUUUGAACUUUUUUGCUUUAAUGUACUACUGCAACAGUUUGUCAUCGCAACUCCUCUGAAACCACACAACUGAAUUUCAUUAAACUUUGUAGAUAAUAAGGACAUACAACGUAGAUGGGCAUACCGACAUGAAAUUACGAUUUAAUUUUUUUUCCAGGAGUUACGCCCCUUUGAACUAAUUUGCUGUAAUAUACUACUGCAACAGUUCAUCAUCGCAACUUCUCUGAAACCAUACAACAGAAUUUCAUGAAACUUUUUAGAUAAUAAGGACAUACUCAUAAUGUAGAUGUGCAUAUUGACAGGAAAUUAUGAUUCAAUUUUUUUUUCUCAUACUAUUUUCUUUUCUUAUUUAAUUUCUCCAAUGACAAUGUGGGGACGUACAUGUAGGGUAUGUGGGCCCGCUCACUAAGGUUCUUAAUUCAUAUAUGUUUCUCAAUUCUCGUUUUUAUAUAGAUUAAACCAUUGGUUUCCCUGUUUGCAUGGUUUAACACUAGUAAUUUUUGGGGCCCUUUAUAGCUUGCUGUUUGGUGUGAGCCAAGGCUACAUGUUGAAGGAUGUACCUUUACCUAUAAUGGUUUACUUUAUUUUUCAUAAAUUGUAAAUUGGAUGGAGAGUUUUCUCAUUGGCACUCAUACCACAUCUUCCUAUAUCUAAAGAUUACAUACCACAAGGCACAUCUUAUUUAUAUAUAUAUAUAUGCUAUGUAACUACUUGGACUAUGGAUAUUGGAUACCUGAUUGAUCAUAUGCAGUCUCGUUAUAUUGUUUCGUAAUCCAACAUAAGUUUGUCUCGACUAAAUAUUAUGAAAGUGCUACUACAUAUAUACACAAUACUUAUUACCACAAAGCACAGAUUGAGGUUGAAAUUUCGUGGAGUCAAAGAGAUAUGCCCCAUUAUUAGAAAAAAUGGCUGAAUCUAGUUUCUGUUCUCUAUCUUAAAAGUAUGUCAUACAAAUGUUUAAAACUUAUGCUUAUAAUCACAAAAUGAAUCCUGCAUCUGUAUCAUGUAUGUUUACAAAAUUGCAAUGCCAAAAGCAAUAACAUUUUGAAGUUUAAACCUUUUUUAGAACUGUCAUAUUGAUAUAAAUCUAAAAAAAGAUAUAUUGUUUCGUAAUCCAACAUAAGUUUGUCUCGACUAAAUAUUAUGAAAGUGCUACUACAUAUAUACACAAUACUUAUUACCACAAAGCACAGAUUGAGGUUGAAAUUUCGUGGAGUCAAAGAGAUAUGCCCCAUUAUUAGAAAAAAUGGCUGAAUCUAGUUUCUGUUCUCUAUCUUAAAAGUAUGUCAUACAAAUGUUUAAAACUUAUGCUUAUAAUCACAAAAUGAAUCCUGCAUCUGUAUACAUGUAUGUUUACAAAAUUGCAAUGCCAAAAGCAAUAACAUUUUGAAGUUUAAACCUUUUUUAGAACUGUCAUAUUGAUAUAAAUCUAAAAAAAGAUACCAUGCUAAUUUCAAAAUUAGCAGAUGCAGCAUGCAAUAUGAAUGCCAAUGUCACACACACAUGACAUUGGCAACUAUCCACCUGAUGGUCAAGUAAAUUUUGUAAAAAUAUUUGCAGAUUAUGCAAAUUAUUUGUACAUGUAUAAUAUUCAUGUAUACAUGUAUGCAUGAAAAUUAAGUAUAUUUUUUUCAAUUUUUCAGUGCCAAUCACUAUUCCAACAACUGAAUAUAAAUUGGUAAGUAUUAGAUACUGUUUUGUAGCAAACAAUUAUAAGCUGUAGCUAUCAAUUUGUCAUGUAUGAUGUACAUGUUCAUUGUAAAUUCUCAUAAUGACAUUUCCACUUGGUGAUUGAAAAAUGUAUGUCAUUUUGCCUGCAUCAGAAGAAGGGGUAAACAAACAAGAUAAAUAAUUGGUCAGCCUAUACUUGCCAUGGCCUUGUGUUGGCACGUCAACAAUAUAAAAAAGAAGAUGUGGUAUGAUUGCCAAUGAGACAACUGUCCACAAGAGACCAAAAUGACACAGACAUAAACAACUAUAGGUCAACGUACAGCCUUCAACAAUGAGCAAAGCCUAUACCGCAUAGUCAGCUAUAAAAGGCCCCGAUGUUUAUGUUCAAAAAGACAAGAUCAACAAAUAGGUCAUAAGGUCAAAUAGCUGGAAUGAAAAUUACCUUAAAAUCAUGCAUGAUAUCAGCAAUUUGGGGAAAACUUAGCGAUAGUUGGUCGUUAGACUAUAUACUGAAAAACUUGUUUAACUUCAAAUUUGAUUUUGCUGCAAAGUCAACCAAUACUAUAGCUUAACAGCACAAAAAUUGUCUUGACAACUCCUUCCAUGAGUUGUUAAUCUUAAAAAGAAUGGUCAUGAUGAUACAGAAAAAUUAAAAGAGACAUUCAAAACUUACAAGAGGAAGUGAAACUUAUGUCUUACAAAACAAAAAAACAACCAUAAGUCCACACACCACUAUUUAGAAAACUAAUUAUAAAAGACUGAACAACAGUAAAUCACCAAAAACAAGAGGCGACAUGUUUAAUAGCAGAUUCACAAUCACGUAAAUAAGUAUUGUUGACCCUGAUUCCGCGCCAUAGCCACACAUAUUUAUGUUAUUAUUUAAAAGACUGUAACAGUUAAACAUAAACUUCAUAAUCAUUUAUUUAAGGGAGGGUAAAAAAAAUCUAAACUUUUUUUAUAUACUAAUUUAUAUAAAACUAUUAUUAUUUUUUCUUUCUUAGGUUUAUCAAAUAUGUUCUUUGGUGUAUGAUCAGAUCCUGUAUAUACUAUAGUAUAGAUCUAACAAGCUUUUAAAAGAAAAGAAAAUUAUGUUUUAGGUAAAUAUAAAUGAUGCAUACAUUGUAUAUAUAUAUAGGAUACAUUG